AUGGAUUCACCUAGAUCCGGAUUGCCUCUAAAUUCUUACGGUACUUCUCUUUGUUUUCUGUAUUCGAUGAAACAAGGUAUUUGUGUUAGAUCUGUAAUGGCUAUUAAGUUUGUAAUAUUGAGGGAGAUAGUAUUGGGACCAUUAGAAGAGAAGAAGCAGAGGAUGGGAUUUAGAGAAAGUUUUGGCUUUGUGUUUUCACGGUUAAACAGAGAACAUAAAUGA